CCUCUCUCCUGCUUGUGCACUCUCUCUCUCAAAAUAAAUACUUUAAAAAUAUUCCAAUACAUGCAAAUACAAAGAAAAUGCUGUGCCAAAAGGACUGCACUCUUCACCCCAGACCCUACCACACAUUCUAAUUUUGAAGGCCUGGAAGAUACAGACAUCUUUUACAGUUGCUUCCAGGCAAUCCCAAUGCUCCUUUCAACCUCUAAGAUGAAGGAAUUGGCCAUGAGACGACUAGGAAAGAUCUGGACUCUAUGUGCCUUGCUCUAACUCUUGUUCACCAUGACAUUCCAGGCAAUUCAUUUUGCCAACAGCUCUGAGAGGCUGGGGUUAAAUGAUCACACAUAAAACACACACACACACACACACACACACACACACACACACACACACACACACAAAGAGGACCAUGGUGGGAUUAAAGAUGGCUGUUUACUAUGUGAAAGUAUUGGCCAAAAUGUGAAUAACUUCAAAAAGGUAAUUAUUAUCCCUCCUGCCCCAACUUGUUAAUCAUCAACUUUUCUCACUUCAUCUGUAUGUUGCCCAAAAUGUGGUUAAAGAAUAGCAAGGAAAGAAAGAACCUCCACAAAUCCACCUGCUCUGCUCACUGGAAAUGCAACAAACCCGGAGAAGGUAUGCUCCAAAGAGAGGACUCCUCUCUUAACCAUGGUCAGAGACCCCUGGGAUGCAUGAGGAAUCUCGGUUGAAUGAAUGAGCCAAUGAAAGAAUCAAGCUGAAACUCAAAACAGAGAAACAGAGCUGGAAAAUCCACUGGAAAUUCCCAGGGUCCCACUGAAAGACUAGUUUAGGCUUUAUGUUUCCCAGACCUUUCUACAGUGUAGAAGUUGUUUUUGGAAAUGCUGGAUACAUUCUCUCUUUAUUCAGCUCUCUCUGCCAACUCUGGCCAAAUCACAUCUGAAAGCUUAUUAAGACAUCCAUUCAGCUCACAAUGUCGUGGCUUCCUCCUAGUCUGCUCGUCACAGCUUCUGAAAGUCUUAGGGCUUCAGGUUUUGUCAGACUGCUCCCUUCUGCCGGCAGAGGACCUGUAACACUGCCUUAUCGAAGAGUCAGGGAAUAAUUCACAAAUGGGAGGAAUGCUUUUGAAUGAGAGAAAUGAAGUCUGAACUCUGCCAGCAGUAAUGCCAGGAGAAGAGAGGGAUGUGCAGGUUGUAAGGGAGGGAGAACGAAGGAGGGGUCAAGAUCUAUAAUGAACCACCUUUCUGGUGACAACAGUCCACCCUCCUUGGCAGAGAGUUCCAGCACAGCGACUGCAGCCGCACGGGAGACAAGAGGCUGGGAGAGCAGCUGUUUCAGUGUUUAAGAAAGGCCAUGUGAAUACAGAGCAAGAAAAUGGCCACCUGCAAGCCAGGAAGAAAGUCCUCACCAAAACCCAAACCCUCCCGGACCUUGAUCUUGAACUUCCAGCCUCGAGAACUAUGAGGCAGGCUAUGGCUCCUGAACCUCCAAGAGAACUAAACAGAUGUAGUCCUUCUCCUGUCUCCCUCCCUCCCCAAAAUAGAGGACCACAGCUGCUGGGAGAAGAAUUACCAGCCUCAAGACAGACCCGACCCAGUGACACAGGUCUGUCAGCACCCCAAGGACUGGACAGCGCCACAGCCCCUCCAGGAAUUUUCUUCUCCCUACCCUCAACCCCUGUUGGGUAAAACCACAAACACUAAAGACAAACCAAAACAAGCAAUAUCAAAUUAUAAUAAAACCAAUCCCCACACAUUAGUCUACCUUCCAUGCAUACAUUUCUCCCUCCCACUUCUUAAAUCGCUUUGAUCAGGCUUCUUUCUGCCCCCAAUUCUCACUAAACUGUUGAUGUUGAAGACUGUGGGCACAAAGAACUAUAGAAUCAAGGAGAGGAUUCUUUCUUGCUUAGUGUGCUAUGGGUGAAAGGGAACAGCAAAGUUCUCACAGAAAAGGGUAGGUCUGGGAUGUGUGAUGGAAGAUAUGUAGGAUUUUGUUAGGUAGAGAAGGGUAGAGGAGAUAGGCCAAAAAAACCAGCAAGAGCAAAACAGGCAGCGUGGUCUGCAAGUGCACAUCAUGAAUGGGAAAGACACGCAAAGAGACUGUUGCAGCUGAAGCUUAUAAUACAUGGGCAAUGAUCCAGAGAUCACGUUGCAAAGUUGGGCUGUGAAAAAAAUUUCAUAUCAUGCCAAAGACAUUGGUUUGUAUGUUGCAUUUGUGAUGGGAGCCCUAGAAGUUGGUAAGCAGAAUAGAAACUAGUUAUUUUUUACUCAACUUGGAAUUCAAGAAUUCCAAGAAUUGGAUUAAGUAUAAUUAUGGGUUGAUGCUACACUUUCAAGAUUGUAGGCACAUGGCUUUCUUUCUCUUUCUUCAUUUAUUUCUUCUUUAAUUCCUUCCUUUCCUCUCUCCUCCUUUCUUUUUAUGUUAAUAGGUUUAGGUUUACAGAAAACUUAGCAGAAAGUACAGUUUCCAUGUGCCCUCCACCCAUUACUGCCCCUACCCUCUGCCAGUUUCCACACAUUUUGCAUUGGUGUGGAAAAUGUUACAAUUGAUGAGUCAAUAUUGAUACACUACUAUUAAAUAAAUCUAUGGUUUACAUUAGGGUUCUUUGUGUUGUAUAGUUGCAUGGGUUUGGACAAAUGUAAAAUGAGGUAUAUACACCAUUACAGUAACAAACAGAAUAGUUUCACUGGCCUAAUGCUCCCCCUAUUUAUCCCUCCCUUCCCCCAACUCCUGGCAACCACCAAACUUAUUACUAUCUCUAUAGUUUUUGCCUUUUCCCAGAAUGUCAUAUAGUUGGAAUCCCACAGUUUAUAUAACCUUUUCAGUUGGCUUCUUUCACUUGGUAAUAUGCAUUGAAGUUUCCUCCAUGUCUUUUCAUGGCUUGAUAGCUCAAUUUUUAAUCACUAAAUAAUAUUCCAUUCUACAGAUAUGUCAGUUUGUUCAUCGAUGCACCUAUUAAAGGACAUCUUGGUUGCGUCCAAGUUUUAGCAAUUAUUAAUAAAGCUGCUAUAAACAUUCAUGUGCAGGUUUCUGCAUUAUACUUUUAAAAAAAUCUCAUUUGGGUAAAUACUAAGGAGUACCACUGCUAAAUCAUAUGCUAGGAAAUGUUUAGCUUUAUAAGAAACUGCUAUACUAUCUUCCGAAACAGCUAUAACAUUUUGCAUUCCCAUCAGCUGAUUUUACAUUGACCUAAUUGCCAAAUGCAAUGGUGA